GUUUUUGUUCCAGUUUUUGCUGAUUGAGAAGCUCAUGAGAUACAUCUCAUUUCCCUGGAGGUCCUCGGGGAAGCAGUGGUCAGACAAUCCUUUCCUAGCCUGCUUUGGGCAACGCUGGUGGUACAGCACUGCUGGCACUGCAUGUGGGCUGCUGCGCUGGCACUGGGCUCCAUGGGCAGAGCGUGAUUCAGCCUUCAGUGUUACAGCAGUCAUUAUUGCAAAGGAGCAGUUUGGGACCAAACAGUGAUGGUCACAGAUACUGAACGUAAGUCACAAAGCAAGCUCCACAGCUGAGUUUGGAUUUAAAUACACAACUGCAUAAAAGGUUUAUGAGAAAGCACAGAUUUUGUAUAGUCACAUUUAGUUCCUCUUCUGUUUCCUGAUGAAUGAUGGCCAUGCAUUCCAGGAAAGAGGUGGCCACAUAUACCAAGCUUAGUUUCCUCCUGGUGAAACCCUCAUGAGCACUCAGUCAUUCCCAGAGAUGACAGAGUCUUUCCCUUCAUCUAAUAUCAGUCCUGCUUUAUUCCUUAGCACUACUGUGAUGCACAUAUGCAUUUCAGUGUCAUUUGCAGAGCUCAUCUGCCGUUGGUGAAAGGGAAGGAAGAGGAAGAGUAGAGUGGCACCAUUCCUGGAAGAGCAGCAGCAGAUGGAAAAUUUCUGUGAAUUCAAGGCUGUUUUCAGGCAGCCUAAACUCUACCUGUGUUCUCAUGCCUAAUGUUAUCCAGAACAUAUUCUGGACCUUCAGGGUUGCCAAACCAAUAAGAAACCAAAGCUGAACUAGGUGAAUUAGAUGGAAUACAGCUGUUGCAGGACACGUGAGUUGUGUCCUUUGUAAUCACGGAACUUACUAGCAAAGCUAUGUGAAUAAUGGACUAUUUUUGUUUUCUGACAAUUCUAAAAACAUUCAGCAAAAAUAUUUGUAAAGGUUGUUUGAGUGUAUCCAAAACAAACUGUCUUUAGGAAGCGUGUGAACUGAAAAGCUGUCUGCCUUGCUUCUUCGGUCGCAUGAGAAGUUUUACCUCCUUUUUUUUGCAUGUAAUUGUUUGUCUUAAUUUAAUAUUUCUUUAAAUUUUAAGUAAAAACCUCAUAGAAUUUGAAGUAACUUUAAAGUGGUUAAUGAAAAAAUACAUAUGUA
rnacentral:lncRNA from 1 species